rnacentral:rRNA from 1 species
ACCUGGUUGAUCCUGCCAGUAGUCAUAUGCUUGUCUCAAAGACUAAGCCAUGGAUGUCUAAGUAUAAAUGUUAUACAGUGAAACUGCGAAUGGCUCAUUAAAACAGUUAUAGUUUCUUUGAUAAUCGAAUUUACAUGGAUAACCGUGGUAAUUCUAGAGCUAAUACAUGCUGGUUUGGCUGACUUUCGGAAGGGCUGUAUUUAUUAGAUAACAAACCAAUAUUCCUUGUGUCUAUUGUGGUGAUUCAUAGUAACUGAUCGAAUCGCAUGGACUUUGUCCGCGAUAAAUCAUUCAAGUUUCUGGCCCAUCAGCUUUCGAUGGUAGUGUAUUGGACUACCAUGGGUUUCACGGGUAACGGAGGAUUAGGGUUCGAUUCCGGAGAGGGAGCCUGAGAAACGGCUACCACAUCUACGGAAGGCAGCAGGGCGCUAAAUUACCCAAUCCUGACUCAGGGAGGUAGUGACAAGAAAUAACGGACCGAAGCUUUAUGUUUCGGGAUUGCAAUGGGUACAAUUUAAACCCCUUAACGAGGAUCAAUUGGAGGGCAAGUCUGGUGCCAGCAGCCGCGGUAAUUCCAGCUCCAAUAACGUAUAUUAAAGUUGUUGCAGUUAAAAAGCUCGUAGUUGGACUUCUGGGAGGGUGGCCAAUGUCCGCUGUUGCGAGUGCAGCGGCGCCCUUCCAUCCUUCUGUUAACGUUUCUUGGUAUUCAGUUACUGGUUUCGGGCUCAGAUAUUUUACCUUGAGAAAAUUAGAGUGUUUCAGGCAGGCUUGCGCCGGAAUACAUUAGCAUGGAAUAAUAGAAUAGGACUUUAGUCUCUCUUGUUGGUUUAGGGACUGAAGUAAUGAUUAAUAGGGAUAGUUGGGGGCAUUAGUAUUUAAUUGUCAGAGGUAAAAUUCUCGGAUUUGUUAAAGACUAACUUAUGCGAAAGCAUUUGCCAAGGAUGUUUUCAUUAAUCAAGAACGAAAGUUAGGGGAUCAAAGACGAUCAGAUACCGUCCUAGUCUUAACCAUAAACUAUGCCGACUAGGGAUCGGAGGCGUGACUUAUCCGCCUUCGCCCCCUUAUGAGAAAUCAAAGUCUUUGGGUUCUGGGGGGAGUAUGGUCGCAAGGCUGAAACUUAAA